UACGUAGGGGGCAAGCGUUGUCCGGAUUUAUUGGGCGUAAAGAGCGUGUAGGCGGCCAGGUAGGUCCGCUGUGAAAACUCGAGGCUUAACCUCGAGAUGUCGGUGGAAACCAUCUGGCUAGAGUCCGGAAGAGGAGAGUGGAAUUCCUGGUGUAGCGGUGAAAUGCGCAGAUAUCAGGAAGAACACCCGUGGCGAAGGCGGCUCUCUGGGACGGUACUGACGCUGAGGUGCGAAAGCGUGGGGAGCAAACAGG
rnacentral:rRNA from 1 species